rnacentral:rRNA from 1 species
UACGUAGGGUGCGAGCGUUGUCCGGAAUUAUUGGGCGUAAAGGGCUCGUAGGCGGUUUGUCGCGUCGGGGAGUGAAAACCAGGUGCUUAACACCUGGCUUGCUUUCGAUACGGGCAGACUAGAGGUAUUCAGGGGAGAACGGAAUUCCUGGUGUAGCGGUGAAAUGCGCAGAUAUCAGGAGGAACACCGGUGGCGAAGGCGGUUCUCUGGGAAUAUCCUGACGCUGAGGAGCGAAAGUGUGGGGAGCGAACAGG